ensembl:lncRNA
CCCCGGCACCGCCCGCGCCGCGGGGCGAGGUGAGGUGAGCGCCCGCUCCUGCCAUGGCGGCGCUGCGGGACGUCUUUCGGCGGCCUUUCGGCGGCCCGCUCGCGGUGGGUUUCAGUUCCCCGGGCAGCGAGCCGACGGCAGCGGUGGUGUCUGUCAGCGCCUGUCCUGCGCCCCCGGCCUGCCGAAGAUCCCUUUGGAAGCGAAAAAACUGCUUUGAAGCAUCUAGGGGAAGCAGGCGGGAAUUUACUAUAAAUUCCUCACAGAUGGUCAGCAGUGGACAGGACCCAGUGACAGACAUGGAAGAGUUUGGUGCUUCUGACAACUGCGGAGCGUCGCUGAGGAUCCCAGAGCUGUGACUGCAGUUUUCCAAUUCCCAGGCUGUCUUGGCAGUAGAGGAAAUGUGAAGAAGAGCUAUGUGUCAUUUGAAUAGUGCUGUCAUCUUACCAAUUACUACUAUAGCUGCUGUACACAGGUGUUGCAAGGUCAUACCUUCACCCAUCCGAGGCAAAGACAUGAUGUUAUCUGCCUGAAAAUAUCUGUCUGGGCAAUCCUUCAACAAGACUUCUCCCACACAUCAAUCCAACUUUCUUUUUUCUCCUGUAACUUCUUGCUUCUUUCAUGUUGCACAAGAGGUUCCCUAAAACAUUAAUUUUUCCUCCUCCAAAUUCCUACACUUGAAUUGAAUAGAAUUUGGAGUGGUAUGAAGUGCCUCACACAGAGAAGAACCAGCAUUUUGAAGGGCCUGCAGGUGCUGCUACCUGAAGGUUAGUUUAACAACUGAAAAUACUCUAUCGUGAAUGGCCUCAAUAUAUCAUUCAGGUGGUAUUCUUAAAAUUAUAUUUUAAUAUCAAUUAAAAUGUGAAUAUCAGUUAUUUAAUGCAACCUAAAGGAAGUUUGUUUUGUUGAAAAAAAAAAAUGAUGAUCAGCCAUAGUUCUGGCCUGUAAUAAGUUCAAGUGUAUGAUGGCUUCCUGUGCUCAGGCUCACCAGGAAGGGGAAUCAGGACAGCGCACGUUGGCAGGUGGGAGUGUAAAUCCGGGUAGGAGGAGAACUCGUGUCAGGAAUGUGUCAAAUCAAUCUCUUCCAAGCGGGAUCCUCAAAAACCUAAAGGUUCAAAUUUGAAGUGUAUUCCACUCUGUGGAAAAAAAUAAUAAAUGAGAGCAUCAAUAUCUGCACUCUUCAGCUUUAAGCCUCCCAGGGGUACAGGCAAUCAGGCUGAUAAGUUGUAAUUUCACACCCUUUGCACCAGCUGCACUUAACUCAUCUGAUUUUUACCUAUGUCACCGGUAGCACCGCAGGGAAUUAGAAUGAAAGAACUAUUAAAAGCCUAAUGUAUUUUUUCGUAUGUAGGUUGUUUGCAUUUCUAAUGCCUAUUUUGAAGCCUUGUGUGAAGUGGAAAGUGGAGGUGAUAAUUCAUUAGCAAGCAAAAUCUAGAAGUAAGGUAUUAUGAAAAAAAAAAACCUUUUAUGGAGGGAAGAUGGAGAACUUAAUGCUCAAGGUAAACAGUUUCAAUUAGGAAGUUCUUUGAAGUAUGAUGAGAGCAGUCCAAAAAGAAUCAUACAGACUGCCAAAAUAAAGACCGAAAAACAUUGAAAUUUAUGGAGCUUUUAAGGGCCAUUAACUUAAAGGCCGUUGCCUUUCUUUUUUCUUUCCCCCAUUCUAUUUUAAGAAAUGGAAAGGUGUUUAUUUUUCCCUUGGUCAAUUAGUCUGCAAUAGGAGAAAGGUAGAGAGACAUAUUUUGUAGAUGCUAUGAGAAUUUUAGACAGAGAAAACUCUUCUUCUGACCGAGUUUCUCUCUUAAAAAAAUAAAGUAUAUUAAGAGCUGUAAACAGUCAGGAAUUGUGCUAUAUAUAUAUGUGUGUCUAGAAUGUUAGGUAAAACUUUAAUCACUGAAUUUGUGGGGUAACUGUGGAAUACAUUUAUACCUUUUGCUUCUCUGUUAGAAGUUUGGAAGUUAGAUGUCCUGUUGAUGGAAGCUGUUUAGAAGUUUGAUGCCUGAAGCUUGGCAGCACUGCACACAAAACAGGAUGUUGCUGCCCACAGGUCCAGUGUCUCUAUCUUUGAGUGGCAGCAUUUGAUUUUUGCAGGGACAGUAAAGAGCAAGUGUUGCAGGGACUUGGUGUCUGAGCUGGGGGGAUAAUUACAUAUUUCUGCCCCCACCCAUAAUUAUCUCAGGAGGCAUUUCACCUCCAGGGUUUGAAAGACCUUUCUGUGUACUGGCGCUAGCACAGUGUGGAUGGGAAGAGGAAAACAACCAAGGCAGCCUGCACACAGAGCCUGAAUUAUUACCUGCCAGUGGGGCCAGCAGCUCUCACUGCUCUCCCAAGGCUGCAGAGCAGCAGAGAUGCUGCAUGGUGCUGGGUGGGACCACCUCCUGCAGCACGGCUGCUGCCUCACAUGGAGGGGGUAGGGGGGGGCGAAGCAGGACACUGCAAAGAUGGAGGGAGAAAAUGAGCUGUGCUGCUGCUGUGUGUGUGCCUGCCAGCCCUGGCCGUGCCUGUUGUCACACUUGGUUUUCCAUAAAAUUUGAUUGUUUUUGAUCACCGUUAUUGGUGUGAAAUGUUGUACCCUAAUAAGCUACCAGCAAAAUGCCUGUUGUCCUUAGCCCAACUGGAUCUAGCCAUUUAAAAUGCUUUAGAAGUCACAGCAUAAAUAUCAAAUGUUGAUAGACGCAAAGAAAUAAACUCUGGCAAUACCUGUGGUAUGCCUUCAACCAUAGUGGUGAAUAACAUUAAAAUCUCACUGCCCAGCACUCGUACCAAAAAUCAGGAUGCCUGUGUUUGGCUCACUUGUAGGCUGUGGCAACAUCAUAGUGUUCCCUCUUCAUGUGCCUAAUUCUUCACAUAGUUUGAGGACAAUAUGAACCAGAAUACAUGCAGUCCUUCACCUGUCUAUCACUACCUUCUUUCCUGCUCUCGGGAGAUACUGUUGAUCCUUCUUUCUCUUACAGAUUUGUCCAAACUUGUUAGCACUGGCAAAAGUAAUCUCCAUUUCCUCCUGGCUACUUGACAAAAGGAGGACAACAAACUUCUCUCUGCUGACUAGGAAUACAGUAAACAUUCAUGAUUUCAAGUAUGGUGAUAAGAGCGUAUUGCACCACAGUGCCAUCUCAUAGCAGUUUGUUCAGCUGAGCAUUCACUGGGCCAGCACAUCACCACUGUCAGCAUGCAAAUAAGCUCUCCCAUGCAGCUGAGAAUGAAGGCCAGAAGCCUGAAAAUAACCCAGCAAAGCAUGCCUGUUGUAAGGAAUGAGAGGUACUUGCCAACUUUUAAUCACUGGGCUUAGUGACUGGCAUGACAACAUUUUUCUGAUGGGGAAAUUAUUUACAGGCAGUUGGAAGGUCAGGAGGCUGUCUGAAACACUCAAUGGCAAAAUUAGAGUUAGCCUUUCAGUCAACCAUGUUGCUCAGGUACCUGCUUGGUGUUCCAGUGUUAACGUGCAGUACAUUCGAAGUGCAGCCACCUUCACUGUAUGUUUCGGUGUACAAAAUUACCUUCUAAUUAAGAAAUAAGCACAGUGGUAGGGAGGAUUCCACUUUGAGUCUCAGCUUGGCUGUGAGACUCAGUGCAAGCCGUGUAGUGGGCUGUUAGAGUGGUUUGCUUGAUUCUGUUUCUUGUGUCAAACGUUUGUCAGUGUUGAUGAUGAAUAGUAGGGAAAAAUACUGAAUAAGCCCUAAGUGAUUAAUUAGAAUAUUAGUUUAGUAUUUCUGCUGCCAGACAGUCAUGCAGUCCCUGGCAUUACUGCUUAAGGUCUAAAAUGUUGAGAGAGGAAGAGGAAUUUCAAAUAUGUUUAUUCUUAUCCAGAUAAUCUCUGAAUUUAAACUCUAAUAAAGCUUUUCACCGGAAUGAGAUGUUAACUAGCCAAUACUUUAUUCACACUUCAGUUAAACAACGUUUACCUCGGUGAAAGGCACCCAAACUGUGCUACUCUGUGCUACCCUGUUUCUGUGGAAACUGUGUGUUGGAGUGGAAUAGGAAUAAUGGUGGAGAAAAGGAGAGCAGUAGCGUUUUGGCUGAAGUCCUGUUGGCCAGCCCCCGUUUCAGCUGGGAUAAGUCAGCCAAGCAAGGCCUCAGUGCUGGAGCCCCGACAGUUCUUUUUCCUCCUCCUCCUAACUUGUGCCGAGGGAGGAGUCUGCUUCACAGACACCAUUCAAAAAGUGCUUGCUAAAGCAAUUUAUCUGUAUUUUCCCCUGGUUUUUCAUGCAACAAGAAUUUUAGCCAGUCAGUAAUGUUAGUCAAUAGCUGCCUACACUGGUAGGGUAAGGUUUGUUCUGAAAAGAACUUCCAUUGACGCGUAUGUUACUCAGUCACUGCUCUUCUAAAAAGCACCACUGUAUUCUUGGAAAGAAACUCUCCCAAAACUGAAAAGACACAUUUUUCAUCAUUCAGGGGUUUCCAAAAUAUGCAUAUGUUUGAUGGAUUGCCAGGAAAGACAGACAGCCUUGACCAGUAAACUCAGCUCUGUAUUCUCUCUUCUCUGGUAGCUGUUUCACUGACAUUCAUGUUGUUUUCUCCUGGAAUAAGGUAUCUUUCUUAAAAAUAAAAUAUGAAUUAACAGAAAAAUAUAUUUUAUUGUUUUUUCUGUUGUUAUGAUUUCUGUUAAUCAGUGAUUGCCUGCUACCUGUGUGUGUGAGUCAGAGUGAAAAAUCUAACGUGGUGAAGUUGUGAUUGAUGUCUUAAUACUGUAGAAGUAUCUGGUAGGGGUGGGGGUCUAUUUCUUCCACAUACACACAAAAAAUGACUGGCUUCUGAUUGUAGUCUGAGGCUCUGGACUGGAGGACCAGGGCAUUUUGCUGCCUAGCCUCAGUAUACACACAUUGCUACAGAGGAUUGAAAGGCGUUGUGCAGCACUCAUGGUAACCAACAUUCUGUAAAGAAUUCUAAAUCACUGCAGGAGAGGAGACAACAGAAAAAGCAGUUUUCAAGAAUGGAGAGUAUGGGAGAAAAUCAAUUAAGGAAACAGCAUUAUCUUUUCAAAUUCAGG